AUUGAACGCUGGCGGCAUGCUUUACACAUGCAAGUCGAACGGUAACAGGCCGCAAGGUGCUGACGAGUGGCGAACGGGUGAGUAAUGCAUCGGAACGUGCACAGUCGUGGGGGAUAACUACUCGAAAGAGUAGCUAAUACCGCAUACGAUCUAUGGAUGAAAGCGGGGGACCGUAAGGCCUCGCGCGAUUGGAGCGGCCGAUGUCAGAUUAGGUAGUUGGUGGGGUAAAGGCUCACCAAGCCAACGAUCUGUAGCUGGUCUGAGAGGACGACCAGCCACACUGGGACUGAGACACGGCCCAGACUCCUACGGGAGGCAGCAGUGGGGGAUUUUGGACAAUGGGCGCAAGCCUGAUCCAGCAAUGCCGCGUGCAGGAAGAAGGCCUUCGGGUUGUAAACUGCUUUUGUACGGAACGAAACGGCUCUGGUUAAUACCCGGGGCUAAUGACGGUACCGUAAGAAUAAGCACCGGCUAACUACGUG
rnacentral:rRNA from 1 species